rnacentral:rRNA from 1 species
GACAAGAGGCCUCGAGCGUUAGGCGGAAUCACUGGGCUUAAAGCGCGUGUAGGCGGAUCGUUAAGUGCCUUGUGAAAUCCUGCGGCUCAACCGCAGAACUGCUGGGCAUACUGGCGAUCUUGGGCCACUCAGGGGUCACUGGAACAAGUGGUGGAGCGGUGAAAUGCGUAGAUAUCACUUGGAACGCCAAUGGUGAAAACAGCUCGCUGGGGGUGUGCU